rnacentral:rRNA from 1 species
UACAGAGGUCUCAAGCGUUGUUCGGAUUCAUUGGGCGUAAAGGGUGCGUAGGCGGCCUUCUUAGUCGAACGUGAAAUCCCCGGGCUCAACCCGGGAACUGCGUCCGAUACUGGAAGGCUCGAAUCCGGGAGAGGGAUGUGGAAUUCCAGGUGUAGCGGUGAAAUGCGUAGAUAUCUGGAGGAACACCGGUGGCGAAGGCGACAUCCUGGACCGGUAUUGACGCUGAGGCGCGAAAGCCAGGGGAGCAAACGGG